AGUCGACCCCUAAGGCGAGGCCGAAAGGCGUAGUCGAUGGGAAACGGGUUAAUAUUCCCGUACUUCUUACAAUUGCGAUGGGGGGACGGAGAAGGCUAGGUGGGCCUGGCGACGGUUGUCCAGGUUCAAGUGCGUAGGCUUGAGAGUUAGGUAAAUCCGGCUCUCUCUAAGGCUGAGACACGACGUCGAGCACCUAAGGGUGUGAAGUCAUUGAUGCCAUGCUUCCAGGAAAAGCCUCUAAGCUUCAGAUUGUAAGGAAUCGUACCCCAAACCGACACAGGUGGUCGGGUAGAGAAUACCAAGGCGCUUGAGAGAACUCGGGUGAAGGAACUAGGCAAAAUGGUACCGUAACUUCGGGAGAAGGUACGCUCUUGAUGGUGAAGUCCCUCGCGGAUGGAGCUGACGAGAGUCGCAGAUACCAGGUGGCUGCAACUGUUUAUUAAAAACACAGCACUGUGCAAAAUCGUAAGAUGACGUAUACGGUGUGACGCCUGCCCGGUGCCGGAAGGUUAAUUGAUGGGGUUAGACUUCGGUCGAAGCUCUUGAUCGAAGCCCCGGUAAACGGCGGCCGUAACUAUAACGGUCCUAAGGUAGCGAAAUUCCUUGUCGGGUAAGUUCCGACCUGCACGAAUGGCGUAAUGAUGGCCACGCUGUCUCCACCCGAGACUCAGUGAAAUUGAAAUCGCUGUGAAGAUGCAGUGUACCCGCGGCUAGACGGAAAGACCCCGUGAACCUUUACUACAGCUUGGCACUGAACAUUGACCCUACAUGUGUAGGAUAGGUGGGAGGCUUUGAAGCAGGUACGCCAGUAU
rnacentral:rRNA from 1 species